rnacentral:tRNA from 1 species
GGGGGUGCAGCUCAGUGGUAGAGCACUUGUGUAGCAUGCACGAGGCCCUGAGUUCCAUCCUCAGCACCCCAA